ensembl:misc_RNA Y_RNA Y RNA
GGCUGGUCCAAGGGCAGUAGUGUUUACAACUAAUUGAUCACAACUAUCCAAUCAAUUACAGAUUCUUUUGUUCCUUCUCCACUCCCACUGCUUCACUUGACUAGCCUAAA